rnacentral:lncRNA from 1 species
GCCAACUACUGAACCGAGCGGUCGCAACUCCAGCGAGCUCCGAGAAAUCAAAGCGUUUUUACGGACAAAUUCCACAAUUAUCACCCCCCAAACACAACAGAAACAGGCUGCUUACCCCAACAAGCAAGGCAGCAAUGGGCAAGAAGAAUAAAAAACUUAAAUCGGACAUGCCACGACCAGGCGCAAGUAUUGGGGACCUAUGGCGGAGAGCACAUGGUGCCCAAGAGCUUCACAUGGCGGAUUACGCAGACUAUGUGGACGACCUCACUAACUCGGAUGACCUAACCUCAGACCAAGAAGAGGUGGCCUUACCCGCUACACGAACACUGACACAGCCCAAGACACAGUCGGAUACUGCUCCGGUCACGAAGGCCGAGAUGAGGGAGCUGCUGGCGGAGCUCCGACGGGGCAUCCAGACCGACAUGGCGGAUAUGAGGAAAGACAUCCAGGGCCUGUCGGACCGUAUGGGUAUCGUGGAGCGAGAUUCCAAGAGCCACACACAGCAACUUACCACGCUGCAGCGCGACGUGGUCUCCCUGCAACAACAGCACCUGCAGGUGGAACAAAAAAUGGCGGCGAUGGAAGAUGCACGGCGUGCCCAAAACCUCAAGAUCAGGGGAAUAGCAGACUCCAUAUCAGACGCCGAGGUGCCUCACCUCAUACGACGCCUGGUAAGCACGAUUAUUCCCGUGAAGCAGGCCAAAGGAAUAAGCAUAGACGGCGCAUUCCGAAUUCCCAAACCCUCGACAGCCCCAGUGACGGCACCCAGGGAUAUUAUAGUUAAGUUUCAAAAACGUCAAGACAAAAUGGCAAUAAUGGCCGCCACCAGGGGAAACACACUGUAUGCCUUUGAGGACAUGUCCCUCACGUUCUAUGCGGACCUGUCACGGGGAACAAUGACAUGGCGCGCAGCCCUCAGACCACUCACCACCUUACUCCGCGCACACAGCAUAAAAUACCAGUGGCGUCCACCCCACAAACUACAGGUGCUUCAUGGAGACGAAACUUACCUAAUAGCCGACCUAUCAGAGGCAAGAAGGCACCUGGCGGCCUGGAGCCUCCCACAAGACGCCCUGCAGCAGCCUAACAAACCCGCCAACACCCAUACAUGGAACCCAGCCACCUCCGAGACAUUUGUCCUGAGAAGAUCCACCCAAACAGCACUAUCAACGAGCCAACCAUGCAACCACAUGAGGACUUGAGGUUCUUCACCUCUCACUUAUUGCUGUACCUUGGACUGUACGAACUGUUGCAUGCACUGUUCAUAGACUGGACCACCCCCUGCAGCACACCGGGGGCACCAAGUGAAAGACAGCAGCUAACUGCAUUCCGGCUACCAGCCUGGACGCAGAGCAAGCUACCUGACGUUCUCAUAAUACUGUAACUAGCUGAAUGCCCAGAGACACAAACGCCUCUUUUCAUAUGAUUUGUUUUUAGCAUUAGCGUUGUCUAACCCAUUCAUUUAGUUGUACCAACAGCUGAGCAUUCCGACAGCACCAUAGAUGGGUCCCAACACCCUGAGCAUAUCAUGCCGUUAACCUGCGGGGCACUGCUUAACCUGAUCGUAUAGAAUUGUACCAUGCCAGGGAUGUAGCAUAGUAUUGGCCAAACCAACAGUAAAUCUAUUCUAAC